AUUUUCUGUAUGAAUUUUAGAGGCAUUAUUCCAUCAGCUUUUAGCUUCCUAUGUUGCUAAUAUAAAAUUAGAAGCCAUUCCAGUGCCUGUAAUUUUGAGCCAUUUGAAUUCUUCAUUUAUGUCAAAUAUUAUUUGAUAUUUCAGUAAAUUACUACCAGGUUCUUCAUAUACAGAAGACCCCUGUGAUCUAUUUAAAAAGUAUAUAUGUAGCACCAGUGACUUCAAAUCGGCUCAAGGGCACCCUUUUAAAAGCAAACACAAAACAAAACAACAAAACAA